rnacentral:rRNA from 1 species
CACGUAGGGGGCAAGCGUUGUCCGGAUUUAUUGGGCGUAAAGAGCUCGUAGGCGGCUUAGUAAGUCGGGUGUGAAACCUCCAGGCUCAACCUGGAGACGCCACCCGAUACUGCUGUGGCUAGAGUCCGGUAGGGGAGCGUGGAAUUCCUGGUGUAGCGGUGAAAUGCGCAGAUAUCAGGAGGAACACCAGCGGCGAAGGCGGGUCUCUGGGCCGUAACUGACGCUGAGGAGCGAAAGCGUGGGGAGUGAACAGG